UAGCUCUGUUAUAUUUCAGAGACCAACAGCAAGUUUUCACUGAGAAGGCCAUGGAAUUGCUGAGCCCUCUUUCACUACUUUUAGUCAGUCUACACAACAAAAGUAAAAGUUGGAUUGAUGCCUUGGAGGACUGCCAGAAGGAUCAUUUCUCCCUGGUUGAGAUCUGCGAAAAGAAAGUAAGGGAUGAUGUGAAAAGACUGCUAAAUAAAACAGACUCAAAGAUGGGUGUGUGGAUUGGACUGCAAAGGUCCAUUUUUGGCUACAGUCCUGAGUGGAAGUGGAUUUCAGGGUAUGUUGUAAAAUCACAGUUGAAUAGA